UGUUAACAGCAGUGCUACUUAGCUUGAUCAGGUCUCGUUCGUUUCAAAGCUUCACUGGGUUCAGUUCUUUCAAAACUGUUGGCAGUAUAUUUCAGAAGGAGUCUCGAUUAUUAAGACCCAAUCCUGUUAUCCAAUCUGAAGAAGAGGCCACAGCAGGACGGAUCAAGUAUAUUGCAUAGAAGGGAUCCAGUGUCAGCUGUCAGAAAUCACAGCCUCACAGCCAGCACCCCCACAAAUGUGAAAAUGAAAGCACUCACCACCUGUGGUGGGAGCAGAGCGAGAGAGUGGGAAAGGACGUGGGAGAGGAAGAAAGAGGAGCGAAGGGAAAGACAACUGCUCAGAGCGGUUCUUAUCUGGAGUUCAGUGCAGGUCUGAGCCGCUUCAGGUAAAACAGAUGCUUCACAACCUGAAGGCGUUUGUUCAGAAGCUCCUGAAGAACAUCACAACAAAAUCAGCAGUAGGUCAAUCACAAGGACAUGGGCCAUUCUACAAAAACAGUUUUAUUUAUU